CUUCACUAUUCUGUAGAGGCCAUGGCUGCCACAUCAUCAGCUUCAAGGUCCUCACAUUUCCUCGGUGAUGGAAUUAAACUGUGACUUCCUACCUGGAUGGACAAUAAUGUCAACAGGGGAACUUAAAUCCUUCCAGAUUACCACUUUGAAUCAUCUCUAAUCCUCACUUAUGUUCAAAAUGGAAUUAUGUUUAGUCAUAUACAUAUGCAGAUGCAUGGGCACACAUGCCAACACACCUGUAUGUGAUGACAUCAUUCAACCUUUGUCAGAGAAACUUCUUAGAAUAGAUGUUAAUUAACACAGAGAUAUAAUGUGAAGACAGAAAAAGACAUUGGAACACUCAGCCCUAUCUCUCCUCAAGGCCUAGGGAUUUAGAUGGAAGAGGAAAGAGGAAGAAGAAAGAGUGUAAGAGCUAGAUGUGGUGGAUGACUCCAAGGAAACAGUAUCUUCCAGAAACAAUGGGGCCGAUGUACACAUGAACUCAGAGAGACCAGCACAAAUUAAAGCCAGACAAGCCCAGACCUUGAAGUCUUCAUCUUCCAGCCUCUGUCUGCUAAGCUAGGCCUAGAAUAUUUCAGUCUCCAAGACUUUCUGUUGAAUAAAUUCAUUAUUUCUAUCUCUUUCUGAACUCUGGCUAGCUGGUUCAACUCAACUGUUCUGGCUCAAACACCUCUCCCAGCUGACUGAUUCAAAUUGACUUCUCUUGGCUUCUGACUAGAUUGUUCUGCUUGGAAAGACUGUCUUUGAACUCUAUGCACUAAACUGCUUCAAAGGACACUGAACUGAACUCAACUGAACUGAAUUCUCUUUCCCUCACUGUUUUUAAGUAGUCUCUAUUUUCUGUCUGUUCUCUUGAGAGUUGGACAUAUACUCUCUCUGAUUCAUUCUGUCAAAUCUUUCUCUGUCUGCCCUCAAUUACACAGCAUUGUUUGGGAUUAAAGGUGUGUACUAAAGG
rnacentral:lncRNA from 1 species